rnacentral:rRNA from 1 species
AACGAACGCUGGCGGCAGGCUUAACACAUGCAAGUCGAACGCAUCGCAAGAUGAGUGGGAGACGGGUGAGUAACGCGUGGGAACAUACCCUUUUCUACGGAAUAGCUCUGGGAAACUGGAAUUAAUACCGUAUACGCCCUACGGGGGAAAGAUUUAUCGGGGAAGGAUUGGCCCGCGUUGGAUUAGCUAGUUGGUGGGGUAAAGGCCUACCAAGGCGACGAUCCAUAGCUGGUCUGAGAGGAUGAUCAGCCACAUUGGGACUGAGACACGGCCCAAACUCCUACGGGAGGCAGCAGUGGGGAAUAUUGGACAAUGGGCGCAAGCCUGAUCCAGCCAUGCCGCGUGGGUGAUGAAGGCCUUAGGGUUGUAAAGCUCUUUCACCGAUGAAGAUAACGACGGUAGUCGGAGAAGAAGCCCCGGCUAACUUCGUGCCAGCCGCCGCGGUAACAC